CGUUCAUCGGAGCAGGGUGAGUCGGCCCCUAAGGCCAGGCUGAGAAGCGUAGUCGAUGGGAACAAGGUUAAUAUUCCUAGACCAUUGUCAAGUAUGCGAUGGGGGGACGGAGUGUGAAAGAUGAUCCGGGUGUUGGAUAUCCCGGUUUGUGAGAGUAGAAGGAAGGCAGGCAAAUCCGCCUUCAGAUCUUCGAGUCAAAACAUCGAUUCUCCACGUGAGAAGAAGUCAUCGGAAGUGCUUCCAAGAAAAGCCUCUAAGUGGUAGCUUGACAAGACCGUACCGCAAACCGACACUGGUGGGCGAGUUGAAUAUACUAAGGCGCUUGAGAGAACUCGGGAGAAGGAACUCGGCAAAUUGACACCGUAACUUCGGAAGAAGGUGUGCCUUUGUAGCGUGAGAGAAGAAACAUCUUAAGCGUGAAGAGGCCUCAGAGAAUAGGUGGCUGCAACUGUUUACUAAAAACAUAGCACUCUGCAAAGAUGAAAGUCGACGUAUAGGGUGUGAUGCCUGCCCGGUGCUGGAAGAUUAAUUGAUGGGGUGCAAGCUCCUGAUCGAAGUCCCAGUAAACGGCGGCCGUAACUAUAACGGUCCUAAGGUAGCGAAAUUCCUUGUCGGGUAAGUUCCGACCUGCACGAAUGGCAUAAUGAUGGCCACACUGUCUCCUCCCGAGACUCAGUGAAGUUGAAGUGUUUGUGAUGAUGCAAUCUCCCCGCGGCUAGACGGAAAGACCCCAUGAACCUUUACUGUAGCUUUACAUUGGACUGUGAACCGAUUUGUGUAGGAUAGGUGGGAGGCAGUGAAACUCAGACGCCAGUUUGAGCGGAGCCAUCCUUGAAAUACCACCCUGAUUUGUUUGCGGUUCUAACCUCGGCCCAUGAUCUGGGCUAGGGACCGUGUAUGGUAGGCAGUUUGACUGGGGCGGUCUCCUCCUAAAGGGUAACGGAGGAGUGCGAAGGUACGCUAGGUACGGUCGGAAAUCGUGCUGAUAGUGCAAUGGCAUAAGCGUGCUUGACUGCGAGACCAACAAGUCGAGCAGAUGCGAAAGCAGGUCAUAGUGAUCCGGUGGCUCUGUAUGGAAGGGCCAUCGCUCAACGGAUAAAAGGUACUC
rnacentral:rRNA from 1 species